rnacentral:rRNA from 1 species
UACGAAGGGGGCUAGCGUUGCUCGGAAUCACUGGGCGUAAAGCGCACGUAGGCGGAUUGCUAAGUCAGGGGUGAAAUCCUGGAGCUCAACUCCAGAACUGCCUUUGAUACUGGCGAUCUUGAGUUCCGGGAGAGGUGAGUGGAACUGCGAGUGUAGAGGUGAAAUUCGUAGAUAUUCGCAAGAACACCAGUGGCGAAGGCGGACUCACUGGCCCGGUACUGACGCUGAGGUGCGAAAGCGUGGGGAGCAAC